AGUGCUCUGCAAAAGCGCAGCCAACGACAAAUUAGACGGCUCUGAAAGUCCAUUGAUUUACCAGAUGGUUAGUUUGCUGUUUGUGUAAAGGUGGGAGUAAUCUUGCCUACAGACGCUGAGCAGACCAUGAGUAAUAGGGAAUUGGCCACUCGUUUUGCACUUUGGUUUUCAGCAAUGAGGCCGCAGUGCUAACCACGGAGCCAACGUGCCACCCACGGUGCAGUCGAAUUUGCUGUUGAAAACAGAGGAGCCAGAACAAUCGGAAACAGCCGGUUUACGGGCCUUGCCUGCUAUAGCUCGACUACGGCAGGUCAGGACAGCCGCUCCAGUGGUGUUCCAGUGCAAAUUCAUGACCUGAAGUGUUCAUUAGCUCUGUUUCUC